AUUCUCCAGUGUAAUCACAGGGAGACUGUGCUUCCCCCAAAGCUGAGAUUUCAGGGGCCUUGUAGCAAUGGACAAAUUACAGCUCUGAAGAUGGCUGUGGUAGAUAUCUAUCAUUCCAGGUUAAAGGAGAGACAAAGACGAAAAAAAAUUAUAAGAGACCAUGGAUUAAUCAACCUUAGAAAGUUUCAAUUAAUGGAACGGCGGUAUCCCAAGGAGGUCCAGGACCUGUAUGAAACAAUGAGGCGAUUUGCAAGAAUUGUGGGGCCAGUGGAACAUGACAAAUUCAUUGAAAGCCAUGCCUUGGAAUUUGAACUCCGAAGGGAAAUCAAGAGGCUCCAAGAAUACAGGACAGCAGGCAUUACCAAUUUUUGUAGUGCCAGAACCUACGAUCACCUCAAGAAGACACGGGAGGAAGAGCGCCUUAAACGCACUAUGCUCUCAGAAGUUCUCCAGUAUAUCCAGGACAGUAGUGCUUGCCAGCAGUGGCUCCGCCGGCAAGCUGACAUUGAUUCCGGCCUGAGUCCUUCCAUUCCAAUGGCUUCGAAUUCAGGUAGACGGAGUGCACCACCCUUGAACCUCACUGGCCUCCCUGGCACAGAGAAGCUGAAUGAAAAAGAAAAGGAGCUCUGUCAGAUGGUGAGGUUGGUCCCUGGAGCCUAUUUAGAAUACAAAUCUGCUCUAUUGAACGAAUGUAACAAGCAAGGAGGCUUAAGACUGGCGCAGGCAAGAGCACUCAUCAAGAUAGAUGUGAACAAAACCCGGAAAAUCUAUGAUUUCCUCAUCA
rnacentral:sRNA from 1 species